GUGCACCAGGCGCGAAAACUUCACAAUGUGCGAAAGCACGAUGAGGGAAUCCCAAGUGCUUGCUCGUAAGAGUAAGCUGUUUCUCUGUCUAAAACGCAGAGAGAGUAAGGGCUGGGUAAGACGGGUGCCAGCCGCCGCGGUAAUACCUGCAGCUCGAGUGGUGGCCGCUAUUAUUGGGCCUAAAACGUCCGUAGCCGGUUUAUUAAAUGCCUGGGUAAAUCGGACCGCUUAACGGUUCGAAUUCCGGGUAGACUGAUAAACUUGAGACCGGGAGAAGCUAGAGGUACUCCUGGGGUAGAGGUGAAAAUUCUGUAAUCCUAGGGGGACCACCAGUGGCGAAGGCGUCUAGCUAGAACGGGUCUGACGGUGAGGGACGAAGCCCUGGGGC
rnacentral:rRNA from 1 species